AACGUAGGGGGCGAGCGUUAUCCGGAAUUACUGGGCGUAAAGGGCGUCUAGGCGGCAGUCUAAGUCCUGCGUGAAAGCUCCCGGCUCAACUGGGAGAGGGCGUGGGAAACUGGGCAGCUAGAGAAUCGGAGAGGGGUGUGGAAUUCCCGGUGGAGUGGUGAAAUGCGUUGAGAUCGGGAGGAACACCAGAGGCGAAGGCGGCACCCUGGCCGAGUUCUGACGCUAAAGCGCGACAGCGUGGGGAGCGAACGGGAUUAGAUACCCUCGUA
rnacentral:rRNA from 1 species